rnacentral:lncRNA from 1 species
GGAAUGACUGAGUGGGGAGAGGGAUUCCUAAGAACAUCUUGCUUCCAGGUGCCCCUGUGAGUAACCUGUCCUGUCCACUGCCCCUCCGCCUGUACCCAGUCCCAUAAGGGGAGAAAAGUGGAUUCUGCAAGGAGGCAUAGUGGUAGCUGGAGGAAAGCAGAUUGAGAGAGUCUAAAGCAUUAGAUCAAUCUGCUCCUAUCAGAUGGCUACAGAUAUCCUGCUUCUACAAAUGAGAAAACUGAAGCUCAGGAAAGGGAAAUGACUUGCCUCCGUGUGUGUAACUGGUCGGACCUGGUCUGUCUGGUUUCCAGACCCAAUUCAGAAAACACCACACUUCAACAAAGUCUGAAAGCUCGUAACGAAGAAGCUAUAGAGCUGUGAUCUGGAAUCUGAGAAGGAUGAACCCACGACCUUCAGGGAAGUGGCCAGGAAGCCGCGAGUUUAAGGGAACCAAACAGCAGUUUGAAGAAUCUCCCUUCAAUUCUCAGUUUACUGAGAGUUUUUAAUCAUGAUGAGGUGUUGGAUUUUGUCAAAUGCUUUUCCUGCAUCAGUUGAUAAGUUCAGAUAUCUGGAUGGAAAGGAGCUACCUCUGAACCUGAUGAAGAAGCAACAGGGAACCACUCAGUUACCUGGACUUCAAGCUGAACGUGGGUGAAUAUCUGUCUCCUGGAAUAGAUGACAGCGGGUUCUUCUGGGAGAAUGCAUUAGGGAGGUUGAAGUCUGAGCUCCUUAGCAUGAUGUGAUGGACCGACCUAGCAUGAUCUGACUUCUGCUGAUGGCUCCAACUUCACCCCCAACCCAGACCAACUAAAAGGUCAUAAGAGAGGUCUCCGUUAAGCUGAUACAAGAAGAAGAAGAAGAGAGAGGAAUUUAUUAAUGGACUCAUCCCAGAAGGGUCGUAUAUAACUUCCAUUCACAUCUCAUCGAGCCCAACAGUCACUGGGCCACACCUGGAUUUAAAGGAACAGGAGGAGUCAUGGUCUAGGCGUAGGUUAGAGAAAAAGGGGAGGUCACAUAUGUUGGUGAACCUUGGGGUCUCCAGCAUGGUAGAGUACAUGUAGGGGUGGGGGAGCUUUUGGUCAUUGUUCUUCCAUCCAUUCCUUUGAUGCAGGAUUUCUCUAUGUGGGCACUACUGACACCUCGGGCUGGACAAUUCUUUGUUACACAGGGAUGUCCUGUGUGUUGUAGGAUGUUUCCCAGCUUUUCGGGUCUCUACCUUCUAGAUGUCAGUAACCCCCUCCACCCCCUCCAAUCAUGUCAAUUAAAAAUAUCUCCAAAUAUUUCCAUGUGUUAUGUGGGGGAGGGGGGUGUCCCUAGUUUGAUGUGCUGUUUCUUUACUGAGUGUUUCCUGAAGGCGGUGAAAUAUCUCUUAUUUGCUAAAGUGGUAAUGUCACAGAAUUCUUGAUUCAAAGAUAUCAGGAAUUUAUAUUUUUCCUGAUUCUUUAUUCACAGCAGUACCCCUAGUAUCACACUAGUGAGAAACCAAUGGAAGAAACCAGAUCUUAUCUUAAUUUUUAGCCCAUUUAUAUGCCUGCACAUAAUAUUUAUCUCUUUGCUCAUCUCCCUGGAUCUCUUAUGAUCAAUAAUAUGCCUGUAGAUUAAUUUCUGUUUUUAAUCCUUGUUCGGUCAUCUUACUCUGGAAUACUGAAUCUACUUUCCCACAACCUUUGAAUCUGUAGGCCUAGACUGAGUUUCAGCCUUUCUUCUCUUUUUGACAGGGAACAAGAAUCAUACAAGAACCAAAAGGAUCAUAUACCAGAAAUAUCAAAAAUUGACUCUCGUGCUGUAGUGACCACAACCUGCACUCCUGCUGACAUCAUUAAUGAAUCAGAAUACUCUCCUCCUGAGCCUGGAGCCCACCUCAGAAUCCAGGAAGCAACUGAGGCAGUUGAUAGAUUGAACAGGAUUGUAAAAAGAGAUUCAAAUUAUUUGGUCUCCAAGCUCUGGUCAUUUUUAGAGCUACAGAAACUGAAAACCAGGUGAUGAAAAGGAGUGCCCAGGCCACCUGGAGUUUUGGUCUUCUGACCUCGUGUUUCUUCGCCUGUCCCUCAUUUAUGAAUCAAGGAGGCUUGUCCAAGCCCAGUGACUUGCUUGGAAGUAGAGCCUUGAAAAGUGUGCUAAAAAUAAGAGUAUUGCUUAGAAUGGUGGGGGUGAACUUGAGUUUAACCAGAUUCUCUUUUCUUUGCUUUUUGAGCAACAAAGAAUACUCCUGUGUGUUGCACAGAGAUUGGAGAGGCUAUAAUAAUCCCUGCCACCAUGACUUUUAAGAGAUCAAAGAAAAUUCUGAGUGGUACCUAAAUGUCCAAAUUUAAAAUUCAAGAAAAAAAUAAGCAGCAGCACAUAAAAACUUUUCUGCAGCAGCCUGCAGGAAGGGUAAAUAUGGCAUGUAUAUUUGAAUGAAAGAAUUUGAGAUUCAGUCUUAGCCAGCCUUUUUAGGAAAAAAAAAAAUUCAGGGUCUGAUGGGAAAUAAAAAGCUGUUUAUGUUUUAUCGUUUGUAUACAAUAAAAUACACUGG